rnacentral:rRNA from 1 species
UUAGCCUGCAAAGUUUGACGGCUGGCGGCAGGCCUAACACAUGCAAGUCGAGCGGUAGAGAGAAGCUUGCUUCUCUUGAGAGCGGCGGACGGGUGAGUAAUACCUAGGAAUCUGCCUGAUAGUGGGGGAUAACGUUCGGAAACGGACGCUAAUACCGCAUAAGUCCUACGGGAGAAAGCAGGGGACUUCGGGCCUUGCGCUAUCAGAUGAGCCUAGGUCGGAUUAGCUAGUUGGUGAGGUAAUGGCUCACCAAGGCUACGAUCCGUAACUGGUCUGAGAGGAUGAUCAGUCACACUGGAACUG